UAGCAAGCAGGCACAUGAGUAAAAAACGAGC
rnacentral:piRNA from 1 species